CCCUUAGCUACUAUAAUUUGAUAGUGACCACAACACCAGUGCUUCCUAUGUUCACAUUCACUUGAAGAUUGUGCAAAAUUAGUGCAAACUAAAGAAUAAAAUAAUUGAUUUGGGACCUUUUGUUUGAAAUAGGGCAAUACUUUACUGUGCUAUGUUUCCCUGAAGAAAAUAAGAGCCUGUAAUUGCAGCUACUUGGGAGGCUGAGGCACAAGGAUCACAAGUUUGAGGCUAUUCUGAGCAUUCCGGUACAGAAUCUUCCAUAUGUCACCAGUUUCAAAGAACUACCACAUAAAAAAACCUCAGGUAGAUAUGGCAGAGAAAACAGCACCCAGCACCCAAGUGUUUCAUCUGUCUCCAUGUUUCCCCUUCAGGUGCAGUGCAGGUGGGUGAUAGGCACCCCCACCUUGGAGGUUCCUGUACCAUAUCCAGGGAGCUCAGGAGCUCUGGCUACUCUGUAGUGAACCCAACCAAGUUUGGUGCCUCUAGACUUAUCAAAGAUCAUUCCAAGACAUUUGUGAACUCACUAUUUUGUAAGAAGCGU
rnacentral:lncRNA from 1 species